rnacentral:rRNA from 1 species
UAACGCGUAUGCAACUUACCUAUCAGAGGGGGAUAGCCCGGCGAAAGUCGGAUUAAUACCCCAUAAAACAGGGGUCCCGCAUGGGAAUAUUUGUUAAAAAUUCAUCGCUGAUAGAUAGGCAUGCGUUCCAUUAGGCAGUUGGCGGGGUAACGGCCCACCAAACCGACGAUGGAUAGGGGUUCUGAGAGGAAGGUCCCCCACAUUGGUACUGAGACACGGACCAAACUCCUACGGGAGGCAGCAGUGAGGAAUAUUGGUCAAUGGCCGAGAGGCUGAACCAGCCAAGUCGCGUGAAGGAAGAAGGAUCUAUGGUUUGUAAACUUCUUUUAUAGGGGAAUAAAGUGGAGGACGUGUCCUUUUUUGUAUGUACCCUAUGAAUAAGCAUCGGCUAACUCCGUGCCAGCAGCCGCGGUAAUACGGAGGAUGCGAGCGUUAUCCGGAUUUAUUGGGUUUAAAGGGUGCGUAGGUGGUGAUUUAAGUCAGCGGUGAAAGUUUGUGGCUCAACCAUAAAAUUGCCGUUGAAACUGGGUUACUUGAGUGUGUUUGAGGUAGGCGGAAUGCGUGGUGUAGCGGUGAAAUGCAUAGAUAUCACGCAGAACUCCGAUUGCGAAGGCAGCUUACUAAACCAUAACUGACACUGAAGCACGAAAGCGUGGGGAUCAAACAGGAUUAGAUACCCUGGUAGUCCACGCAGUAAACGAUGA